AUGGACAUCAAGCUCGUCCCCAGAGACUCGGCCGGCACCAUCACCACGCUCUAUAUGCUGACAGAGGGGCCAUGGGAAGAACACGAUGAGGUCGACCUCGAAUUCCUGGGCAACAGCUCCGGCGAGCCAUACACCUUGCACACAAACAUUUACGCCAGGGGAAGAGGCGGCCGGGAGAAGCAGUACCGGCUUUGGUUUGAUCCCACUCAAGAUUUCCACACCUACUCCAUCCUCUGGAACCCAAAGGAGAUACUGAUACUUGUCGAUGGCACGCCGGUCCGGCAGAUGAAGAACCAACAAAGAAAAGAUAUCCCUUUCCCGCUGUACCAGCCAAUGAGGCUGUACAGCAGCAUCUGGAACGCCGAGGACUGGGCGACGCAGGGUGGGCGCGUCAAGACCGACUGGUCCCAGGCGCCGUUCACCUCGCUCUUCCGGAACUACAGCGCCGUUUCCUGCGUCUCGCAGAAGACCGCCUGGAUCUGUGGCCGAGGUUCCAGUGACAGCAGCUGGUUCACCCACGUCUUGGAUGAAGUGGGGCAACGGAAGCUCAUGGAGGUGGACGAGAAACACAAGAUUUAUGAUUACUGCGUUGACUCGAGGAGGUACCCUAAUGGGUAUCCCCCAGAGUGUGGGUCACAGUAG
rnacentral:rRNA from 1 species